rnacentral:rRNA from 1 species
CAAAUAGGCAAGUCGNACGGCAGCACGGGGGCAACCCUGGUGGCGAGUGGCGAACGGGUGAGUAAUACAUCGGAACGUGCCCAGUCGUGGGGGAUAACGUAGCGAAAGCUACGCUAAUACCGCAUACGAACUGAGGUUGAAAGCGGGGGACCGAAAGGCCUCACGCGAUUGGAGCGGCCGAUGGCAGAUUAGGUAGUUGGUGGGGUAAAGGCCUACCAAGCCGACGAUCUGUAGCUGGUCUGAGAGGACGACCAGCCACACUGGGACUGAGACACGGCCCAAACUCCUACGGGAGGNCCNACUGGGGAAUUUUGGACAGUGGGCNCAAGCCUGAUCCAGCCAUUCCGCGUGCAGGAUGAAGGCCCUCGGGUUGUAAACUGCUUUUGUACGGAACGAAAANCUUUGGGUUAAUACCCUGGAGUGAUGACGGUACCGUAAGAAUAAGCACCGGCUAACUACGUGCCAGCAGCCGCGGUAAUACGUAGGGUGCAAGCGUUAAUCGGAAUCACUGGGCGUAAA